rnacentral:tRNA from 1 species
GGUGGCUCAGUGAGAGAGUGCUUGCCUUGCAUGCAUGAGGCCCUGGGUUCAAUUCCUCAGCACCA